AGCGAACGCUGGCGGCAGGCCUAACACAUGCAAGUCGAGCGCCCCGCAAGGGGAGCGGCAGACGGGAGAGUAACACGUGGGAACGUACCCUUCAGUUCGGAACAACCCAGGGAAACUUGGGCUAAUACCGAAUACGUCCGUAAGGAGAAAGAUUUAUCGCUGAAGGAUCGGCCCGCGUCUGAUUAGCUUGUUGGUGAGGUAACGGCUCACCAAGGCUACGAUCAGUAGCUGGUCUGAGAGGAUGAUCAGCCUCACUGGGACUGAGACACGGCCCAGACUCCUACGGGAGGCAGCAGUGGGGAAUAUUGGACAAUGGGCGCAAGCCUGAUCCAGCCAUGCCGCGUGGAUGAUGAAGGCCUUAGGGUUGUAAAGUCCUUUCGGCGGGGAAGAUAAUGACGGUACCCGCAGAAGAAGCCCCGGCUAACUUCGUGCCAGCCGCCGCAGUAACAC
rnacentral:rRNA from 1 species